AUUGAACGCUGGCGGCAGGCCUAACACAUGCAAGUCGAACGGUAACAGGAUGAAGCUUGCUUCUUUGCUGUCGCGUGUCGGACGGGUGUGUGAUGUCCGGGAAACUGUAUGUUGGCGGGGGAUAACUCCUGGAAAAGGUAGCUAUUAUAGCACAUCGUCGCUACACCUAAGAGCGGGACAUCUUGGCACCUUGCCCUCUUGUAUGCCCCGAUGGGAUUAGAUAGUAGGUGGGGUAAAGGCUCACAUAGGCGCCGCUCCCUAGAUGGUCUGAGAGGAUGACCAGCCACACGGGAACUGAGACACGGUCCAGACUCCUACGGGAGGCAGCAGUGGGGAAUAUUGCACAAUGGGCGCAAGCCUGAUGCAGCCAUGCCGCGUGUAUGAAGAAGGCCUUCGGGUUGUAAAGUACUUUCAGCGGGGAGGAAGGGAGUAAAGUUAAUACCUUUGCUCAUUGACGUUACCCGCAGAAGAAGCACCGGCUAACUCCGUG
rnacentral:rRNA from 1 species